GAGACCCCUGCCGUUAAUUGCUACCAUUAUCCGCAAGGAUGGUGGAGCUAGUUGACGGGACUGCCGCCGCUAAGGCGGAGGAAGGAAGGGGCAACGGCAGGUCAGUAUGCCCCGAAACUCCUGGGCCACACGCGGGCUGCAAUGGUAGAGACAAUGGGUUCCUACCUCGAAAGGGGGAGGCAAUCCCCAAACUCUACCCCAGUUGUGACUGAGGGCUGCAACCCGCCCUCACGAAUCUGGAAUCCCUAGUAAUCGCAUGUCAUCACCGUGCGGUGAAUAC
rnacentral:rRNA from 1 species